GGCUCAGAGUGGUUAAUGGAACUGGCUGUAAACCAGUUGGCUACGGCCGUCGGAGGUUCAAGUCCUUCUCA